ACGUAGGAGGCAAGCGUUGUCCGGAUUUACUGGGUGUAAAGGGUCCGCAGGCGGGCCUGUAAGUUAGUGGUGAAAUCCUCCAGCUCAACUGGAGAUCGGCCUCUGAUACUGCAGGUCUUGAAUCAAGGAGAGGGGGACGGAAUUCCAGGUGUAGCGGUGAAAUGCUUAGAUAUCUGGAAGAACACCGGUGGCGAAGGCUGUUCCCUGGCCUUAGAUUGACGCUCAUGGACGAAAGCGUGGGGAUCAAACAGGAUUAGAUACCCUGGUAGUCCACGCUGUAAACGAUGGAUACUCGGUGUCGGGUCGCAAGAUUCGGUGCCUAAGCAAACGCAGUAAGUAUCCCACCUGGGGAGUACGAUCGCAAGGUUG
rnacentral:rRNA from 1 species